GGGAGUGAGGGCAAUCUGGCUACAACAUCUGUCACCCCAUUGAUUGUCAGGGUUAAUGUGGCUGAUCCGGCUGGCUAGGCCAACGACACCUUUCUCCUCCCUCACUGUUCCAUGUGCAUCCCUCCUGAAGCUGCAUGCUCAAGGGGGUGGUGUGAAGUGGAUGACCUUCCCCAGUAGAGGAGGACUGGAGGACAGAUCUUCCAUCAAGGGUAUAGGAAUUACUGUGCUCUCUUGCUAGACCCUCCAAACAAGCUCUCAAGGUCCAUUUGCAGGAGUAUGCAGUGAAGCUUCCAAGACUCCAGACACAUCCAAAUGAGUUGCCACAUGUGGCAGUCUGCCUUUCUUU
rnacentral:snRNA from 1 species